UUACCUGUUUUUUUCCUCCCGUUUUCUCUUUGCAGGGACCCGACCCCUACCGGCUGCUUGGUGGAAGUUGGUGUCUGCACCAGGAGCAGCUGCGGGCUCGCUGGGCGAGAUCGAGCUCUACAGAGCACAAUAGCCAACCUUAAUGCACGGGAAAUGAAAUUAACGGCUUGCAGCGAUGCAGGGAGAGGUACAGGUGCAGGACUAACUACAAAAGCAGACCACCCUGAAAGUUAGAGCACAACGUAUAAGUGACUAAAACCAUUUAUCAUCUUGUGUAGUACACAGAAUGAGAGACGUGAACAAAGCAAGGCAACGAAGACGGAUGUAACUACAGUUUGAUGAAUUACUGAGAAUAAUAGAGAACCACCAACCUGAAGAUCAUGGUGCAUCAGUUUUCCAUUACAAAUCACACAGCCAACUGUUUAGGAACUGCCCACUUCUGAGUUACAAGGCUUUGCUACUUUGUGAGAACACAUUAGCUUUACGCAGAAUAAAGUAUGGGAAAGUUGAAGCGUAACCACAGGCCAAAGCAGCAAUAGAUGCUAUAAGAUUAAAUUCCUGUUUACAAGCUUUUUGUUUUGUAU